UGUGCCCCGGAAGCAGUUAUUUGUUGAGGGAAUUUGGACCUGCUUUCGAGGCUGCUGUCGCCAUGUUCCUGUCCGCGGUCACUUUUGCCAAGGCCAAGUCAAAAACAAUUCUGGUGAAAAUGUUGAGCCAAGCUGGAACAGGUUUUUCCUUCAACACUAAGAGAAGCCGACUGCGGGAGAAACUGACUCUCUUGCAUUAUGAUCCAGUAGAAAAGGCAGAGUCACAGUCCAGAGUGAUCUUGAAAGAACUCCCAUGCAAUAACAGAGAUGGCCGCGGUGAGCAGGAAUGGCCUACCCAAGAACCAUCUUCAUGCAAUGGAAACCACUUAGGAGACCUACAGUACAGUCCUGGCAGCUCUGCUCCUGAGGACACUAUUGCAGCAUCCUAGGAAGAUGGGCAAGGAGUAGACUACCAGCUCACUGCCAUGUCAUCACACUGAUGUCCAGGACACUGAAGGAGUGGGAAGAAGAGGAGCUUAAGCGUAGGAAGCUCAGAAGUCUUAACUGUAGAUGGACUCUAGGAGUGGUGCACCUCUCUUCCUUGAUCAUUCAAAGACAAGAAUGAAUGAAGUGAUCUGUGCCUGAACCUUUGGUAUCUGGCCUGGCACCAUCCCGCCACAUUGCCACCCGUGCAGUCCUGCUCCUUGCCCUGUACAGGAAGGUGCUGGAGUUGAAUGGCAGUGGGACCUGGGUUUCUCUCCAGUAAUGUACAGAGCCAAGGUCAUAUCCACCCUGUGUGAUGGUGAGUAGUGCAAGCUCCUGGUACGUGCUACCUGGUUAUGCCACCGCCCCACCUCCCCACAGAUAUCCAGGUAAAGUGAACAUUUAGGCACAUGGGGACCUACUAAUGAGCGCUAAGAUGUACUGAGUGCUUACAUGAGCCAGGCACUGUUCUUAGACUAUAUAUGAGUUACUGCAUUUAAGUGAGGCUGCACUGUACUGCACAAAGCAAGAGUGGAAGCUUCUGAAAAUCUAGAGAAAUGGAGCAACUUACAGAAGCCUAUAGCAUGACAAGUGGCAAGGAGUCAGUGCUGGAAUGCCAAAUAGAAGAGACUGGACGCUAGGCAGACUGCCACCAAAUCAAGAGGGUGUGGUAAGGAGGACACGGAUGUCAGGGUCAGGCAGACAGGCAGACAGACCUAGAACCAAUUCCUGGCUCUGCCGAUUUACCAGCUGGAUGACUCUGGGCAGGUUGUUUACCUUUGCAGGUAUAACUUCCUCCUCUCUAAAGUGGGCAUUAGCCUGUCUUGCAGGGUUGUUCUGAGUGUGUGAGAAAAUGCAUAAAGAGUCCAGCACAAUGCCUGGCCUAGAGUAGUGCCCUGCUUUUCAUUAUUAGCCAAAGGAUCCUUAUGUCCCCAAGAAUCUGUAAGAAUCAAGGAAUUUCAGAGGUUGAAGACGACUCAGAGAUCACCCACUCCAGACACAUCAUGUUUGGAUGCACAACCUGAGCCCCAGACAUAAUGAGUCAUUUGCCCCAAACUGUCUGCUAGUUAUUAGUUAAAUCAGGAUUAGAACCCAGGACAUCAUCUGCCCUUAGCCACCAGGACCAAUGAUUACAGUUGAACCAUACGAAAAACUCUUGAGAUAUUUCACUAAAAAGGUGAUUUAGGCUGAUCCUGUUAGUUUGCCUCAGCUUAUUUUCUCACAGAACAGCUGAUUUUCCAGCAUUCACUUUAGGUCACUUCUGAAGCAUGCUGAUUUGCUUUCUUGCAUAUGUUAGUCUACUUGGGCCACCAUAACAAAAUACCACAGACUAGGUGGCUUAAACAACAGAAAUGUAUUCCUCACAGUUCUGGAGGCUAGAAGUCCAAGAUCGAGGUGCUGGCAAGAUAAGUUUCAUUCUGAGGCCUCUUCUCCUGGCUUGCAGGAGGCCUCCGCCUUGCUAUGUGCUCCCAUGAACUUUUUGAAUGCACAUACAGAGAGACUGAACUCUCUGCUGUCUCUUCUUAUAAGGACGCUAAUCCUAUUGGGAUCAGGGCUUCACCCUUAUAACCUCAUUUAAUCUUAAUUACCUCCUUAUAGGUCCUAUCUCCAAAUACAGUAACUUUGGGGGUUAGGGCUUCAACAUAUAACUUUUAGGGGGAGCACAAUUCAGUCCAAGGGCUUGUGUUACAUAUGUUCCUCCAUCCCUCAUGAGCCCUUCCAUUCAGGUCUGUUUCAAAUCAGAGGUAUAUGUACGAUGAAGUACAUGAAAUAUUAAGUACCUCAACAUGAGGCAUCUCCUACAGCCUGGCCCCUUUUAUAGCUCCUCCAGGUCAUUCAUUAGCCAAAGAUAAAGAAAUGUGGCAAAGCCAAAGUCUAGAUCAUUCAUUCUGUUAUCAGUUGAGAGAAUGAGGGUUUAAGAGUUAAACCGAGAUAUAUCAACAGACUCAUUCAGAAAGAAAACUUGAACGUGAGUGAAGUUUCUCUGAAGACCUGCCGUGCAUUUGAGUGAUGAACAGAAACAGUGCAGCUUUGACAUUUAUUCUGAUAUUUCCAAAGGAAACUGUAUAAAAUAACAUGUUUUUGAGGGAAAUUUUUUCUUUAGAAAGAUUAAGAAAAAAACUGUCAAAAGUGUGUAGUGAAAUAUCCAGAUUUACAGAGGCUGAAGUGCUGUGGAUCUGAAAGCCAUGUGGAUCUAUUUCUUUGGCAUCAGGACUCUCCAUUCAGAGGUCAUCCUAAGUCAAAGGGCUACUCAGCCUCCACAUAUAGAGGUUUGGGAAAGCUUGAGAGGUUCUUUAUGAGAUCAAGAGUGAACAGUGGCUAAUUUGGCUCCUUUGUGAAAAUAAUGCCCAGUUUGCCCUUUGAGAAAGGAUAUCACCUAUCUUACUUGCUAGAUGUGGCUCCAAAUAGUUUUUUGCUAUGUCCCCAAAUCAUCUUUACUCCAAAUUUCAAAGUAAUACGUGAAAAAUACAGGUUUAUGGAAAAAUGCAAACAAUUCAGAAGAAUAUGGAGCAGAAUGCAGAGGUCCUCCUUUUCAACACUUUCCUAUCCCCCAUCCUGUUCCCCUUCCCAUGAGUAAUGGGAAAGUUUGGUGGUUUUGUUUGUUUUGGAUUUUAAAUUAUACUUUUACUUACAGAUA